CCUUCCUGGCCACAGAAGACUCUGUGACAUCAAAGAGGAGUUCUAUAGGAUUGCAGGUUUCCCCAAUGUCAUUGGUGCAGUGGACUGCACACACAUAAGGAUAAAAGCCCCCGCAGGUGCCCAUGAGGCCGAUUUUUGUGAAUAGGAAAUCCUUUCACAGCGUUAAUGUUCAGAUGGUCUGCAAUGCUGACUGUGUGAUCAGCAAUGUUGUGGCAAAAUGGCCUGGCUCAGUCCAUGACUCCAGAAUCUUUCGGGCCUCUGAAAUCUAUCACAAGGUGAAUUCUCUGGUGUGUUGCUGGGAGACAGGGGGUAUGGCUGCCAGCCUUUUCUCCUGACACCUUUCACAGACCCCCAGGAAGCACAGCAGGCCUACAACCAUGCCCAUGCCAGGACCAGGGCCAGAGUUGAAAUGACCUUUGGCCUCCUGAAGGCACGCUUUCACUGCCUUCACAAAUUAAGGGUCAGCCCUGUUAGGGCAUGUGAUAUUACUGUGGCUUGUGCUGUCCUCCACAAUGUGGCCUGCCUGAGGAAGGAGAGGGCCCCAGAGUGCCACCAGCCAUGGACUG